UGGUGAAUUCGUUUCAAUUAGUCAGUCUUCAUCAACAAUUCAACGUCCAAAAAAGAUACAGGACAGGGCAGAGGAUUGGCCUUCCAAUUUGGCUUCUGAAACCAUGUCCUUUUCUCACAGGUAAAGUGUGAACAAAUAACGCUUAUUGGACUAAUUAAAGGUUAGCGGUUAUCAACCAUAAUAGGAAAGCUGCAGGUCUUGAAAACCAAAAAGCAUAAAAAUAAAAAGUAAUGACUCUUGUCCAUGGUGUUAAGAAAAACCAAACCUGUACACUAGGAAAUAGCAGGCCAUUUAAUGCAAAUUGCAUGCUAAAGGAUUAAUAGAUGAAGUCAAGCAUAGGCAGAGAGGUACCAAAAGACCAUGGAAAUCUUUGCUAGUUGUAGCCAUUUUAACCAUGAAGAAGAUUGGACUAGGGUUGCCUUAUUUGCAACAAUCAAGAAAAGAAAAUGAAAAUUCUAGGGGAGUUAAAAUGGGGCAAGAAAAUUAAACAAUCUAGCAUUUGACAACUGAAAUCUUAAACAUGUUAAACCAGAGUAAUCUACAGGCACAGGGAAAAAAAACGAAAAAUACCCUAAAAAAAUCAAUGACAAGAAACUUACGAGAGAGAGAGAGAUUGCACACAAAAUCAGGACCAGUUCUUAAUCUUUCGAAUUUCCAAAAUAAGAACCUUAAAAAUGAAAAGCAAGACAACAACAGCAAAUUUGAACUCAUGGAGACUGUUCAAUUGUUCAACAUCAACUUAAAACUAAUAGAUACCAAAGGCAGCUAUUCCAAGUAAGUUGAAAAGACAUGAUACUGAGAUAAGAAGAUUCAUAGAACUAAUUCAAUCUGUUGGGGAAGUUGAUCAAACCUAUCAAUAUCAAGUAGGAUUUUGUAUGAAAUUCUGCAUUAACGAACUCUAUACCAAAAAUAAAUGCUGUCAAUAUUAUGCAAAGUACAAUCUGUUCCCCAAUUUAUACACAGCAAUUCUGAAAAUAGUCAACAGUUUCCAGUAAACCCAACAUUUAAUCAGCCACAAAUUCUUAUGUAAAGCAGAAAGCGUAUUAAUUCGCAUCUAAUUUUUAGCAGAAAGAGUUUAAUUCAUCUGUGUCCAGCAGAAAAAGAGAAACCUUAUUUCCACAUAAAAAGGCCAAACGAAAGGGGGAGGCUUCUAAAAGAAGAUUUGCACGAAAUAUUGACCGCAAAAAUUGACAUCAGGACAGAAGCUCUAUCAUUUCUUCAAAGUCUCACUGAUUAACUCGUUGAUUCUCUCUCUUUUCUGACUAAACAUUUCCACUUUCAGAUCUCAAACUUUCUAACAGAUUCACAUUCCUAUCCAAUAUUUUGACCGAAACUUUCUGAAGAAAAGAAAAAGUAUACAGCAAAAGUAAACAUAAAAUUAUUCGAAACCGCUUUUAUAGAAUAAAAUAAAGUUCACGGUUCGAUUAGACUUGAUGCAGAAUUUACCAGCAACGGAUUGAAGCAGCGAGGCUUGGAGUUUCUCAGUGAAUCGGCGUUGAAGAAAUCGGAAAACAGAAGAAAAUUAUUGAAAAGAAAAAAAAAUCGAAAUUGAAAUUAGUUCGCG
rnacentral:lncRNA from 1 species